CAGGAGCCAGAGAAAGCUGGGAGUAUGAUUCAGGAGCAAGAGAUCUUCAGAGUCCAGACCUCCAGAGUCAUUUUACACUACAAAAGAUAUUGGAGAAUGGUGGAAGCACUGUGACUAAACAAGCUGCUCUGCAGAAGCUUCUAGCUCAGGCCUCAAAUUAUAGCAACUCUUUUGGAGGAAAUUACUUGGAACUUGCCAACACUGGGAGUUCUAGCUGCAAGCAAACCUCAGGAGAUUGUCUAGUUCAGCUUCCUGCUCAAGAGUUAAUGUCUAAUGGAAGUGAUUGCUGGCAACUGAGGAAAAUCA
rnacentral:lncRNA from 1 species